AUAAGUAAUGAAAUCGAGCACUUUUUGUAUAUUUCAAUAGCCAUUUGGAUAUCCUCUCUGUAAGGUAUCAAAGUUUUUUGCCCACUUUUCCAUUGGGCUGUCCACCUUUUUCUAUUGAUUUAUGGAAGUUCUUUAUAUACUUGGGUAUAAGUACUUUGUCAGAAAUGUUUUGCAAAUAUUGUUUUCAUUCUGUGAGUGUCCGUUUUCUAUUCUCCUGAUAAGUAAAUGUUCUUAAUCUGUAAUAUAUCACACAUUUAAUCAAAUUUUGAAAUGUACUAGUUCUGUUAGUUCUAUUAAAAGCAAACUCUUCUUGCUGCCCAAAUAAUAGAAGAGCAGCCAAGUUUAAAUAGCACAGAUACACAAAGAAACUUCAAUGCAUCCAUCUCAGUCUUGUGCUCUCUGUUGAUCUACUGAAGGUGCAAGUUAAACUGUCUUUUUUUAGGUUGCCUAAGGCCUCUCUUGUUCUCUCGUUUCUUUCAAAAUUAGUUCUAGCCAUUAACAUGCAUAAAAAAAUCACCAGCUUUUGAAGGGCAAAAGAGCGUCAUUCAGUAAUUUAGGAAGAGAGUAGGGAAAAUAAUAGGGCAGAUUGUAAGGAGGACAGUUAUAAUUAGGAAGAGGUGGGAGGAUGCAAACAAAACCUGUGUGAACCUAACUGGAGUUCAAGAGCACACUCAGGAACUUGACCUACACAUAGGUAAGGGAUGACGUUACUGUGGUCAGUCAAUCAGUCGUUUAUUAACUACCUCUUGCUUUAUACUGUCCUGAUAGCUUUCCCCAUCUCUAUUUAAAUCCUCAUCAGAUUUGUGUUUAUUUAAAGCAAGGAUUGGCACCCAGUUCCGUCUCAAAGAUCCUUUGCCACAUCUGGCUAUCCUAGAAGAGACACGGAACCUCAAAACGGGGUGAGCGUGAUAUCCCUCCACCAUCCUAACCAGCGUGUGUCUUGAACUGCUGAGAACAGUGUUUUCUAGCUGGUGUUCUAGGAGCACAGAGACAUUUAAAGCUGGGAUGAAAGAAACCCAGAUAAUGAGAGGUCCCUGAAGCUAGGUCUUGAAGAAUGAGGCCUUCUCUGGGUAGAGAAGGAAGAAAAUGGCAGUGAGUUGCUUUUUUGUUUUUGUUUUUUCCAGUCGCUGGGUAUCACUCAGAAGGCAUCAUGAGUAAAAUCAGGGCUCUUUUACUCACAUAAAGCACUGUUUAUUUCAGCCAGUGGGCGUCUGUAAGGUUGGGAUUUAGUUCAUGGGAAAGGCACCUACAUUUUGGAUAAAAGGAGGGAAAGAAUAUCUACUUGGUCUGUCUUUGCUAUAUAUUGAUCAGGUAGUAUCUCAUAGAAUCUUCAGCAAAAAAUUAUGCACAAAGUGAACCAAGAUGCACCGCAGGUGGGCCCCGCAGGCAACCUCUGAGGGGAGAAGUUGGACUGUAAGACUAUGGAUCUAGUUUAGUCUUAGGCAGUAUCUCAGGUAAAUGAAUAACUAUAUAUAAAAAUCCGCCCCAAAGGCUGACAUUUUAAUUUGGACUUCUCUCUCAAGUGCUUGGGUUUUCUUCCAUUAAAAAUUAUAAUAACAAAAACAUGUAGAAAAUUCACACGUAGACAGGUAAACAUACUGAAUACAUUCCCUGCAAUCCUAAAAUACCCAAACAUGUCCUUGUUAAUUUCUUAGACUAGUGUUGUCCAGUAGAAACAAUGCAAAUCACAUACGAAAUUUUAAAUGUUUUAGUAGUCAUACUAAGAAAAGUAAACAUAGAGGGGUGAAAUUCAAUACCAUAUAUUAUUUCAUCUAAUAUACCCCAAAUAUCAUUUCAAUAUGUAAACGAUAAGAAGUUUAUUAAGGAGGGGAUUUUACAUUCAAUUUAUAUAUGGACUAAGUCUUUCCAACAGGUGUGUAUUUUACACUUAAAGCACAUCUCAUUUUAGACUAACCACAUAUCAACGGCUUAAUAGUCACAGGUGGCUGACAGCACCCAUAUUGGGCAGUAAGGAUAAUCUUAAAAGAGAGUAUUAAAAAUGGAGGAUGGGAGUUCCCAUCCUGGCGCAGCGGAAACGAAUCUGACUAGGAACCAUGAGGUUGUGCGUUCAAUCUCUGGCCUCGCUCAGUAGGUUAAUGAUCUGGUGUUGCUGUGGCUGCAGCGUGGGCCGGUGGCUACAGCUGCGAUGGGACCCCGAGACUGGGAAACUCCAUAUGCCGCGGGUGUGGCUCUGAAAAGACAAAAGGCCAGAGACAGAAAAAAAAAAAAAAAGGAGUAGGAAUACCUUUCAUAUCAUCAAUUUCACUUUAGAAUAGUUUUAGCUUUACAGAAAAGUCGGAAAGAUAAAAGUUUCUGUAUACCCUGUCCCUAGUUUUUCCUACUGAAUAGGUUUUCUUUUUCUUUUCUUUUUAGGCUUGCACCUGUAGCAUAUGGAAGUUCCCAGGCUAGGGGUUGAAUCGGAGCUGCAGCUGCCAGGCUACACCACAGCCGCAGUAACAUGGGAUCUGAGCUGCAUCUGCGACCUGUACCACAGCUCACGGCAAUGCCAGAUCCUUAACCCACUGAGCGAAGCCACAGAUUGAAUCCACACCCUCACGGAUGCUAGUCAGGCUUGUAACUCGCUGAGCCACGAUGGGAACUCCCAGGUUUAGGUUUUCCUAAUGUCCUUUUCCUCUGUCAUCUGGGACAUCACAUUACAUUUAGUUAUCAUGUCUCCUUAAGCUACUCUGGGCUGUGAAAAUUUCUCAGAUUUUCCUCGAUGACCAUGAUGAUUUUGAAGUCUGCUAGUCAGAUGUUUUAUAGAAUGUUCUUCACUUAGGUUUGUAUGAUCUAUUUUCUUUUAGUGAGGCUGGGGUUAUGGCUUUGGGGCAGGAGGACCUGCACAGGUGAAGUGCCAUUCUUGACACUGAUUAACGGGACAUAUGACCAGCACAUGAUUUAUGUUUAACAUGUUAAACAAUCGACUAGUUAAAGUAGUAUGCCAGGAUUACCCACUGUCAUUACUUUUCCCCCUUUCCAUAGUGUAUCCUUUUAAAACAAGUCACUAAGCAUAGUCCAUAAUUAAGGACUAUACAGAAGAGUGAGUAUUUCAUAGAUUAUUUGAGAUUCUUCUUAUAGGAGAUGUAUAAAACCUCUCAUUUUUUUAUUCUAUCAUUUAUUUAUAUCAGUGUGGACUUCAUUUUGUACUCAGGGGUAUAGGUAAUGCUACACUACUAAUUCCAUUAUUCAAGUUGUUCCAGCUUUGGCCACUGGGAGCUCUUUCAGCUGGCUUCUGUGUUUUUUGGGCAUAUCCUUCUAAUUUCCUAAUUCUGUUUUGAGCAAUUCCCUAAUUUCUGGCACUAUAAGAUACUCUUUGUUUACCUUGUAUAUUCUAUGCUUCAGCUCUAAAACUGGCCACUUAUCCAAGGAGUCUGGAAUAAUACUAUUCUGUUGGAGAAUAGCAUUAGAAACCAAGAUCAAGGCACUGGAUCAUAUUAUCUUUUGAUGGAAGAGUUCUACCCUCUGCUAUUUUGCACAGAGUAGUGUACACUUGAUGGACUCCACAUUUCAUUUAGAGCUUUCAGAUGGCCCAAAGGCCCACACCUUUCAAACCCCAUCUCUCACUUCUGCAGCAGCUGUGCCCUGAGAACGACCAGCUAUAUGUUAGUCCUUCAAACUAACCUCUCUUUCUUCAGAUAAAGAGUGCCAGGAGUUUUCAUUUGUUCACUAACUCCAGACUGAAGAUAUUCUGUGGCAAUCAGAAGAACUGAAAGAUAAUUGAAACAGGAGAGCUUUCUAGGGAACAUUUUCCAUCAAAACAUCAUCUUACAGAUUUAUCUAUCAUUGUGGACUGGCUCUCUGUUAGAAUGUUUCCCUUGAACUUGAAAAGACUAUGGAGAACUACACAACCACAUAGCAGCAACAACCACACCCAGUUUAUUCAGUGUUCCCUCUCAGACACUGGGCUAGUUAAUCUGCACCAUAAUCUCAUUUAAUCCUUUAAAAACACCACACAUAAGUGUUAUUUCCCAUACUAUUAUUCCUACUCUAUAGUUGAAGAAACUGAACUUGAAAGAUUCACUUGCCUAUGGCCGUGCAGUUAGAAAGACCAAGGUGGAGGUCUAGGUGCUAGUCUCUCUUCUCCCAUUAGCCUCAUUUAUCCCAACUCACUUGACCACUGCACGAUAUGGCCUGUUAUAGAGACAGUCUCCUCAAACUAUCUCACUUCACAGACUUAAAGGGGAUUCUUUCUAUUUGGGCUUAAUACAUAAGGCUUUACAUACAAUUUUAAGGAGAAAUAGUACUUGUAUUCAGAACACUCUCUUAAAUUUUGGCUCAACAACUGCAAUCACCAUAAAACAUAGCUGGAAGAUUAAACAAAAACUUAUCUAUAUAAAUCUUAUGAGAAGAGAGGGCAUAUUUGUUGGUAAAUUCUUUGCAGAAAGCAUAUUGUUGAAGAAGAAAAUAUACAAUUUGUUUUUAUAAUUCAAUUUUACAUAUGGACACUGAUAUAAAUAUGCAAAUUUGGUUGUAUACUAGUACUGUACUAACAGAUUUUCAUUUAUUAGUGAAAUGAAUAUUUCUUGUGGUAUUUCUUUCUUUUUUAAUUUUAUCUUGGAAAGCGGCAGCAUUGCAGAGUAGAAAACACAUAGGUUUGAGAACCAGAAAGAACUUCACUCAAGUCUUGACUCUGCCACUUAUUAGUUUAAUAUUUUCUUGGUUGGCUGUUCGCACAGCUUGGCAUGUGGAAGUUCUGGGGUAAGGGGGAAACCCAUGCCACAUCAAUAACCAGAGCCACAGCAGUGAAUUGGAUCCUUAACCUGCUGAGCCAUCAGGGAACUCCAGCUCUGCCACUUAAUACCUGAAUUCUUUUUAAAAAACUUCUUCAAUGUUCUGUUUCUCGGUUUCCUUAUUGGUAAAAUGAAAAUAACAGAGUAUUUUUAUGACGCACUGGUACCUGACCCACAGUUGAUCCCACUACUCUGCGAUGUUAUGUCCAAGGACACCAUGAUAACCUGCAGUGAGAGAUGAUGAUCCACACAACACAGGUUGAUGAGUUGAAAGUAGGUUGGACGCAUGAUGUCAUGUUAUGCUCAUGGAAAUCCUUAGAGGUGGGUAUUGCUCUUAGAGUCAAUUACAAAAUAAAAGACACAUGUAAAGACAUUUAUCAUAGAGAGUGAAGGGAAGGUCAGAAUUUGAACCUAGUUUUGUCAAAAGCCAAAAUAUGCAUUUUAAUCUUUGCACUAAUUUCUACCAUGAGCUCCACCAACACAGAUUAUGACCUGUCCCUACUUCCUUUCUCCUGCUGAACACUCAGUGAUGCACACUGGGAUCAAUAAAUAGCUGAAAGAAAACUAAUGAGUAAAUGAGAACUAGUCUCAUUUGCCCUUCUCUAGGGAAAAAUUUAGCCAAUUUAGGGAGGAAUGCCUUAAUCCUUAGGCCCACUUUUAUUCCCUUUUCUUUCUUGCCUGUAAAAAUGACUUUGUAACAAGCCUGAAACACGUACUGCUCAUUCUUUCGUGUAAAAACAGCACAAGCAAUCUCCAGACACACCCCAUUUAUAACGAAAAGGAUAAAUGACAAGUCUAUUGUGAAAGUUUUGAUCAGUCCUAUUAGCCAAGGUCCAAAGAAGAUUUUGUACAACCGUUUUGAAAAAACAAACCCAGGUGGAUUUUAUGCAGGUUUCUGCGCAUUUGCCUCACAAUGAAUGAUUGACACUUCAGAUUGACAAAAUGUCGAAUUCCUUCAAAGACUUCCAAACAGGAUGAAAUGGGAUAACUGCUUUUCAUGUUUCCAGAGAGACUGCUGACCUUAGUGAUUAACCUCUCCUUUGCCAAAUUAGUUAGGCAUUUUUCUUUCCACUCUCUUUACUCUUAGAGCUUCCCUGAGAAAUAAAAUAAUCUGGACUAGACUGGAGGUGCUGUUCUUGAACCAAUAUGGAGCACUGUGCCCACACAUGGCAUUAUAACCUAAUGAAUUCAUUGCACUUAAGCAGACAGUGAAUUGCCAAUCUGAAUCAUUUUUAAUCCGUGCAGCUUGGAGGAUGAUAUCAGAAUCUGACUCAUAUUUUUGAAAAAGGGGGUAUACCAUGGGGUUUACGGCAUUCUUUAGGUCUGUGAAAGUUCAACCCGUUCAGCCCCCAUUAAGAACCAGACCCUAGUAUUACAUAGUCUGACCCACAUCUUGAUUUGAAAUUCUGAAAAUUCUCAUUUGGUUGCAUGAGUCCUCAUCACUUCUAGGAUUUGGAAUGAGAUCUGCACACAGGUGGGAGAGGGAAUGUGUAGCAGGAAGAGAAAUUGGCACAGAAAUAAGAUAGGCCUGGUUUUAAGUCAUUGCUCUGCCACUUACUAGUGUGUACGCCAAUGUGGGCCAAUUUGUUUUAAUGGCUUCAGAAUAAAUCCCAAACCCCACCAGCACUUUUUCAAAUGUCUGCUAAUUGGUUUCACUGGAAAUCCUGCAGCGAUUAUUUGGAACAUUUGUUGCAAUUCUAUUACCAUG
rnacentral:lncRNA from 1 species